GUGAGGGGGCGAGCGGCGGAGAGAGCGCAGCCCACCGAGCUCCGGCCCCCUCCCCUUUCUCUCUCUGGCCCGGGCCUAUGCGGCCCCCCAGAGACCAUGGGAUCCAGGAUCAAGAGUUUGCUAAAGAACAGCCAUGAAAAAUUAAGAGAUUUUACUCAGUUUUCACUCUUCCAUGCAGGAUUCUUGAAGUCAGCACAGACUCCUAAGGUAUUUGCUGACCAAAGAAUGAUGCUUACUUGUCAUCUUUUAUUUAUCUUGUGUUUGGAAAGAUGUCUUCCCAAAGAGUCUUAACAUAAUGAGUAUUAGAAUCUGCAGAUAUUGAUGAAAUUGAUCUGUGAAGUAAUCUUUCUUGCUGUCGGCACACAGGCUUUCUAAGCCAUGAUUUUAAUGAAAAUGAAGAAGUUAACGCUUUUGCCUGUCUGUUGUGGGGAAUAAUUUGGGAACAAAGUACUUGUCACAAACAGAUGAGAAAAAUUUUCAGGCCCUCUCUGGCCUUUAUUUUUACAUUUUAAAUCUUGCUAUUGCAAAAUAAAAUAAUAUCUUUUGGCUGUUAAAACUUCA
rnacentral:lncRNA from 1 species